rnacentral:rRNA from 1 species
UACGUAGGCAGCAAGCGUUGUUCGGAAUUACUGGGCGUAAAGAGUGUGUAGGCGGUGCUCCGAGUCUGGUGUGAAAUCUCCCGGCUUAACUGGGAGGGUGCAUUAGAAACUGGAAUGCUAGAGGAUGGGAGAGGUAAGCGGAAUUCCUGGUGUAGCGGUGAAAUGCGUAGAUAUCAGGAGGAACACCUGUGGUGUAGACAGCUUACUGGACCAUUUCUGACGCUGAGACACGAAAGCGUGGGUAGCAAACAGG